rnacentral:rRNA from 1 species
UACGGAGGGUGCAAGCGUUAAUCGGAUUUAUUGGGCGUAAAGGGGGCGUAGGCGGGAAAGCAAGUCAGAUGUGAAAUUCCGGGGCUCAACCUCGGAGCUGCAUUUGAAACUACUUUUCUUGAGGAAAGGCGGAGAAAACGGAAUUCCACAAGUAGCGGUGAAAUGCGUAGAUAUGUGGAAGAACACCUGUGGCGAAAGCGGUUUUCUAGCUUAAUCCUGACGCUGAGGCCCGAAAGCUAGGGGAGCAAACAGG